ACUCAAAUGAAUUGACGGGGGCCCGCACAAGCGGUGGAGCAUGUGGUUCAAUUCGACGCAACGCGAAGAACCUUACCUGGGCUCGAACGGCUCACGAAAGCCCGUAGAAAUAUGGGUUUCCCGCAAGGGACGGGAGUCGAGGUGCUGCAUGGCUGUCGUCAGCUCGUGUCGUGAGAUGUUGGGUUAAGUCCCGCAACGAGCGCAACCCUCGUCCUGUGUUGCUAACCGAAAGGUGCACUCUCAGGAGACUGCCGGCGAUAAGCUGGAGGAAGGUGGGGAUGACGUCAAGUCAUCAUGGCCUUUAUGUCCAGGGCUACACACGUGCUACAAUGGGCGGUACAAUGCGCUGCAAACCUGCGAAGGGGAGCUAAUCGCAAAAAACCGUUCUCAGUUCGGAUCGCAGGCUGCAACUCGCCUGCGUGAAGCUGGAAUCGCUAGUAAUGGCGUAUCAGAAUGACGCCGUGAAUACGUUCCCGGGCCUUGUACACACCGCCCGU
rnacentral:rRNA from 1 species